CAAAAAAACCAAAAAAAGGUUGA
rnacentral:sRNA from 1 species